rnacentral:rRNA from 1 species
ACGGGAGAGGCAAGCGUUGUUCGGAAUCAUUGGGCUUAAAGCGCGUGUAGGCGGCUCGUCAAGUGUCUUGUGAAAUCCCUCGGCUCAACCGGGGAAUCGUUGGGCAUACUGUCGGGCUUGAGGCAGGUAGGGGUGCCUGGAACUCUAGGUGGAGCGGUGAAAUGCGUUGAUAUCUAGAGGAACGCCCGUGGCGAAAGCGGGGCACUGGGCCUGUCCUGACGCUGAGACGCGAAAGCGUGGGUAGCAAACGG